rnacentral:rRNA from 1 species
UACGUAGGGUGCGAGCGUUAAUCGGAAUUACUGGGCGUAAAGCGUGCGCAGGCGGUUCGUUAGACCGAUGUGAAACCUCCGGGCUUAACCUGGGAAUGGCAUUGGAAACUGGCGGGCUUGAGUGCGGCAGAGGGGGGUGGAAUUCCGCGUGUAGCAGUGAAAUGCGUAGAGAUGCGGAGGAACACCGAUGGCGAAGGCAGCCCCCUGGGUCGACACUGACGCUCAGGCACGAAAGCGUGGGGAGCAAACAGG